CCCAAAGCAGAUGAAUCCAGGUUGUAUACUAUCUCUUAACCUAGGAGAAGAAUACACUAGAAGUCCACACAGCGGCCCUUCCUCUCCCAGUCUCCAUAACGGGUUGGCUCUAGGCCCCGGGGACCCCCCUCCUCCUUGGUCUCUGGGUUCACGUCAUUGGGGAAUCCUUGGUGGAGGAGAAGACUUCAAUCAACAUAGUGCAUUGAUUCAUCCGUAGAAACCAAUCCAAGCCGAUAGUGAUAACAAGAGGCCUCAAGCAGACUGGGAACCUCAUUUUAGCUUAUUCUCUCAUUGGAUCCAUGUCACUGACAAGACAGAAGUAAGCGUUUUAGCAAGCAUUCAUUAUUUUCCUCAAAUACGGGGACCUAUGACUAGACAGUUAAAAUUCGUCUGACGUCUAAAGGAUUUUAUUCGUUUGCCUGACGUCAUGACGAAAUACAGAAGACGGAAAUGUGAUUCGUCAAUCGUGCCCAUGGACCUAGCAUGGACCUGUGCCGUCUUGCAUUGAUGCCAAGUUGGAUUUUGAGUUCUGGAGGGCGUACAGGGAGCUGUUGUGAAGGCACAGCGGGUCAGGGGUCACGGGCUGGUUGAUGGUCUUCUGGAAGGCCUCCUGCUGGAGCUGCAUGAGGAUGCGGUUCGCCUGCUGCCGCUCAGCUUCUCGUUCCUCCGCCGUCUGCCGCCUGCGAACCAAACGUGGCCUCAGCGUUAUUUACCGGCGUCACAGGCUGUUCUAUAAAUGACAUGCAUUUUUGUGUACAGUAGGCCUACUUCCAUAACAGCAACAAGAUGGGCUUAUAACACUUUUUAUAGUUUUUUUUCUGCGUGCAUUUGCGCUCAAUUUGUUUCUGUGAAUUAAGGCAAUCCAAAACGGAUUAUAGGCUAUUGGUCCACAGGUUGUCGUUUUUAACUUCCAUCUUUUAUUUUCAUUAAGUUUCAUUAUUUUAUUUCAGUGUAAAUCUAGUUUCGCACAAUCAUAAUUAUAGAGAGGGAAAUAGAAGCAGCAUAGUUUGGAUCGCAUCGUCUGUUUAAACCCUACUCACCCCAAAAAGAUAAAGAUAAUAUAAAUUAUAAUUGUUAGCCUAUCCUUAUACUAUUACAAAUAUUUUAUGUUUCAAACUUAAUUUCUGGUCUAACUAUAUGGCUUUUUAAUUAUUAGCAAGAGAUGGAACGAUGAAAAAGAGAUAGAGAUAGUAAUUUGUAUUAGGCCUAGUUAUUAUUUUAUAGCCAAAGUUAGAAAAAAGUUAAAAAAUUAAAUAAAAAAAUUGAAUACACUAAUUUAAUUUCCAUAUUUUUAAAUUUCAAUAUUCACCAAAUAAAAGUUUAUAACAAAUGUAUUUCUUUAAUAUGGCUACAUGCAUAAAUCUUUCAAUAUGAAUAGAUAACAAAUGUAUUCCUGUGUGUGCAAUCCGAGCCUCUUAUCUUUGAUUAUCUCCGGUAUUUAAUUUGAGUUAUUUAAGCCUUGAUAACAUACCUUUCCAACAAACCAAACAAAGCACUGUAAAUUAGCCUAUAUAUUGGGAAGCAUAACUCUUAUUUUGUUAACUUCAGCAAUAUCAGUAAACUAAUAGUAGGGCCUACACCUAUUAUUAUAGACCUGGCCUAUAUAAACAACUCACGGGAUUGCUGUUAUUAACAGAUUUUUAUGCACUUCUGAGUUCUGUAGUAUUUUGGUCGUUUUUGAUUUAUCGAAGAUAAAGACGUUUUAAAAAAGGCAAUAAAC